rnacentral:rRNA from 1 species
CAGCUGCGGUAAUACAAUGAGGGCUAGCGUUAAUCAUAAUGGUUUAAAGUAUCCGUAGAAUAAUAAUAAAUUAGAGUUAAUAAAUUUAAUUAAAGAAUUAUGAUAGUAAAGAUGAAAUAAUAUAAUAAUCAUAAGACUGGUAUAUGUGAAAAUAUUAAUUAAAUAUUAACUGACAUUGAGGGAUGAAAGCUAGAGUAGCAAUAUGGAUUCGAUACCCAAGUAGUUCUAGCUGUAAACAAUGAACACCAUAAUUUAUUAAAUAAAUUAUAAACGAAAGUGUAAGUGUUCCACCUGAAGAGUACUUU